GGGGCUGACAUGGAUUUGACAGCAGGAUGAUGUGUUAUGUAAGCAUGCAGAGAGUUGGUAGCCGCUCUCUAUAAUCCCUGACUUCCAAAAAUUUAAUUGGCGAAAACACUUACGCUCUCGCUGCCUAAACGAAGUACAGUAGUUUACUGGCCUAAUCCCGGCACCAGGUGCUGAGACGAGACAUCGCUCAGAAGCUGUUGUUCCGAAGCGUCUGAUCAAGCGGUGCAGGAAAAUCGGGAAUAGUUGACGGAGAUGUUUCUAUCUGUCGAUGAAAUCUACAGAAACUAAGGUUGCAGUUGGUGGUCCAGGUCUUGCUGCAGCACUAAAACCCCAGUCUGGAAUAAGCAUGUAGAAAGCGUAGGAUGUCCCUGUUUGGACGAGGGUUCAAUCCCCUCCAGCUCCACA
rnacentral:tmRNA from 1 species